rnacentral:lncRNA from 10 species
CCGCCCUGCCGGCGUCUGGGGCCGCGAGGGUGCGGCUUCCAAGCUGGCCGGCCCUAGCCGGCCCCCCCGGCCCUUCCCGGCGCCUCCGCUCCUGUUUAAACCCGGGUGCUGUGGUCUGGGCUUCCAGCGCUGGCCUCUGACCGAAGGUUCGGGCGCAACCGAACGGGUUUCCGACGCCGCACUCGGCUGGAACGCCGCCCUGACUCAGCUAGACCCGGAACCCGGAGGCUGAACGCCGUGUCUAGCGCAGGAAAACGCUCUCCCGGAUCUCGGUCCGGCCCAUUUUCAGUUGGUGUAGCCCCAGAAAAUCUACUGCAGUCGUUUUUGUUCUGCAACAUUUAUAGUACCACGAUUAUUCCCAUCAUCUCAGGUAGCACAGAUUAUUGAAUUAAGGCUGGUUAUUGUUGGAUCAGAUUGGGUUUGAGACAGGUACUCGGUGGAGAGGCCUGAGGGUGGGUUUAGAAGCCAGAUGUUGCUCUUUGACCUAUUUAAUACCGAGCUUGACACACACACACAAUCUCUCUCUCUCUCUCUCUCUCUCUCUCACACACACACACACACACACACACACACACUCCUAUGCCCAUCCCUAGAGUGUAGGGUGGGCCUAAGACUGCGCUUCUAACAAGUCUCCCAGUUGCUGCUGCUGUUGGUGCUGGUUCCGGGACCACAUUAUGAGAACCACUGAACUGAAUGAAGCAUGUGAAAAUUCACAUAUAUUAAAGUGAAAAUUGGAGAAAUGGAAACAAUUACAGUACCCUUCAGGGGACUCGGGGUGGGGGAGGGGGAGCCUUAUUUCUGUAAACCUAGGCCUCAAAGGUGCCUGGUGAUAGUAGGCACUCAAUAAAUAUUGAAUGAGUAAAUGAGUACAGAUAAGACUAAAACGUUUUUGCUGGCGCGGCGGAUCGCUUGAGGUCAGGAGUCCGAGACCAGUCUGGCCAACAUGGUGAAACCCCA